GUCGAGCGGGUAUAGCAAUAUAUCAGCGGCGAAAGGGAGAGUAACGCGUAGCUACGUACCCCGGAGACCGGAAUAGCCAGCCGAAAGGCUGGGUAAUGCCGGAUGACGUCUCUGGACUAAAGGGUGUGAUUCCGCUUUGGGAGCGGGCUGCGUUGUACUAGCUAGUUGGUAGGGUAAUGGCCUACCAAGGCGAUGAUGCAUACCGGGCGUGAGAGCGUGGCCCGGCUCACUGGGACUGAGACACUGCCCAGACACCUACGGGUGGCUGCAGUCGAGAAUCUUCGGCAAUGAGCGCAAGCUUGACCGAGCGACGCCGCGUGCGGGAUGAAGGCCUUCGGGUUGUAAACCGCUUUCGGUAGGGAGGAAAUUGCCAGGGGUUCUCCCCCGGUAUUGACCUAUCUUCGGAAGAAGGACGGGCUAAGUUCGUGCCAGCAGCCGCGGUAAUACGAACCGUCCAAACGUUAUUCGGAUUUAUUGGGCUUAAAGGGUAUGUAGGCGGCGCUGUCAGUCGGGUGUGAAAUCCCUCGGCUCAACCGAGGAACUGCGCCCGAUACUGCAGCGCUUGAGGGAGACAGAGGUAAGCGGAACUGAUGGUGGAGCGGUGAAAUGCGUUGAUAUCAUCAGGAACACCAGUGGCGAAAGCGGCUUACUGGGUCUCUUCUGACGCUGAGAUACGGAAGCUAGGGGAGCGAACGGGAUU
rnacentral:rRNA from 1 species